GAUGGGCUCGCGAGACAUUAGCUAGUUGGUGAGGUAACGGCCCACCAAGGCUACGAUGUCUAGGGGUUCUGAGAGGAAGGUCCCCCACAUUGGAACUGAGACACGGUCCAAACUCCUACGGGAGGCAGCAGUGAGGAAUAUUGGUCAAUGGACGGAAGUCUGAACCAGCCAUGCCGCGUGCACGAAUAAGGUCCUAUGGGUCGUAAACUGCUUUUGUGGUGGAGCAAUAAGGCGUACGUGUAACGUCUAUGAGAGUACAUCACGAAUAAGCAUCGGCUAACUCCGUGCCAGCAGCCGGCGGUAAUACGGAGGAUGCCAAGCGUUAUCCGGAUUUACUGGGCGUAAAGGGCGCGUAGGCGGUCUUGCGUGUCAGACGUGAAAUCUCCGGGCUCAACCCGGAAAGUGCGUCUGAAACUACAGGACUCGAGUCUGGGAGAGGGAAUCGGAAUGCAGGGUGUAGCGGUGAAAUGCGUUGAUAUCCUGCAGAACACCGGAGGCGAAGGCGGAUUCCUUGAACAGCACUGACGCUGAGGCGCGAAAGUCGGGGGAGCAAACAGGAUUAGAUACCCUGGUAGUCCCGACCUUAAACGGUGCACACUCGGGGUGGGGCUUUUCAUCGGCCCCGUCUCUUAGCUAACGCGUUAAGUGUGCCGCCUGGGGAGUACGGCCGCAAGGCUAACACUCAAAGAAAUUGACGGGGGCCCGCACAAGCAGAGGAGCAUGUGGCUUAAUUCGAUGCAACGCGAAGAACCUUACCUGGAUUUGACAUACUUCUGCACGGCCUGUGAAAGCAGGCUUCCUUCGAGGGUGAAGUACAGGUGCUGCAUGGCUGUCGUCAGUUCGUGCCGUGAGGUGUUUGGUUAAGUCCACCAACGAACGCAACCCCUUUGCGAUGUUGCCAGCGGGUAAUGCCGGGAACUCGUCGCAUACUGCUCGUUUACGCGAGAGGAAGGUGGGGAUGACGUCAAGUCAGUAUGGCCCUUACAUCCAGGGCUGCACACGUGCUACAAUGGCCGGUACAGAGCGAAGCGAGACCGCAAGGUGGAGCGAAUCGCACAGAGCCGGCCUCAGUUCAGAUUGGGGUCUGCAACCCGACCCCAUGAAGUCGGAUUUGCUAGUAACGGCAUAUCAGCUACGACGCCGUGAAUGCGUUCCCGGGCC
rnacentral:rRNA from 1 species